rnacentral:rRNA from 1 species
GAUGAACGCUAGCGAUAGGCUUAACACAUGCAAGUCGAGGGGCAGCAUGGUCUUAGCUUGCUAAGACUGAUGGCGACCGGCGCACGGGUGCGUAACGCGUAUGCAACUUGCCUCACAGAGGGGGAUAACCCGUCGAAAGACGGACUAAUACCGCGUACACUUGGGAUAGGGCAUCCUGACCCAAGGAAAUGAAAUUCGCUGUGAGAUAGGCAUGCGUCCCAUUAGCUAGUUGGUGAGGUAACGGCUCACCAAGGCGACGAUGGGUAGGGGAACUGAGAGGUUGAACCCCCACACUGGUACUGAGACACGGACCAGACGCCUACGGGAGGCAGCAGUGAGGAAUAUUGGUCAAUGGGCGAGAGCCUGAACCAGCCAAGUCGCGUGAAGGAUGACUGUCUUAUGGAUUGUAAACUUCUUUUAUACGGGAAUAACAAGAGCCACGUGUGGCUCCCUGCAUGUACCGUAUGAAUAAGCAUCGGCUAACUCCGUG